rnacentral:rRNA from 1 species
UACGUAGGUGGCAAGCGUUUGUCCGGAAUUAUUGGGCGUAAAGCGCGCGCAGGUGGUUUCUUAAGUCUGAUGUGAAAGCCCACGGCUCAACCGUGGAGGGUCAUUGGAAACUGGGGAACUUGAGUGCAGGAGAGAAGAGUGGAAUUCCACGUGUAGCGGUGAAAUGCGUAGAGAUGUGGAGGAACACCAGUGGCGAAGGCGACUCUUUGGCCUGUAACUGACACUGAGGCGCGAAAGCGUGGAGAGCAAACAGG